UGCAUCGUUCGUUGAUAAGCGACGACGACGCUUGGGAGUUGAUUUCAGAGAAAACCAGUGGCACCAUCGUGUUUCUCGCGAACUUUUACAUAAGAGACAGCAGUCAAAUCGCAAAUCGCUCACACAUGCAACAUCUCCAUUCAGAAAUGAUCAAUUCAGUGCAGUUCAAGUUCGGGGUGUAGCACCCGUUGUUCCGGCCAUUGAACCUGGAGCAGUCAAAGUUACGGCCCCAGCACCCGUAACUUUUGUUGCCUGGAACGGACGUGCGGAUGGUGUGUAAUAACGUAGAUAUUAUGGAAACGAAUCGUUAUUGAUAUUGACUUUUCAAAAUUACGCUUCAUUCUUCGCAUUAUCGCAAAAUUUUGAAAAUCCUCCAUUGGGAAAGUUCAGUUGUUUUACGAGAACGUCUGCCUUGACAUUUUGACAAUUAUCCAUAUUCGUCAAUAAGUAAUCAUCAGAAAAACAUAGAUUCUCAAGAUCUGUAUGUUGUGUUCGUUUCAAUUAGUGGAAGAUUAAUUGUGUUAUGAUAUCAAGGAACUGAAUUUGGUGUAGCUGAAACUCCAAAUGUGUCAUUGUAAGAGGCUUUAAGGAAAGGAAAGGAGAGAGUUCAAAUUCAGGCUGAAGUAGAACUAAAUGACAGGACAUGAAGCUCUCCCCGAGAGAAUCAUCAUGAAGAAAUAAAAGUCAGAUUUUGGAAUCCAAAAACAUGGCUGGAAAUAGUUAAAAAAAUAUUGGAAGAAUUAGAAGAGAUUCAACAGCACAGAAGGAACGCGUCAACAAUGGGGAACAUUUCUCUAGUCCUCCUCGCACUGGGUGUCAUCCUUUGGCCAAGCGAAAGUCGUAUACUAAAACGGGAAGUUCAAAAGGAGCCUGAGAAUGGUCCGAUGCAAAACUUACAAGCUCGAAUAGAGCCCGACAAAAUCCAGACGGAACCGGAGAUUGUCAGUUUGGAACCCACGGAAGGGGUUAUUGUGGAGCCGUGGACGCGGCGACUACAGCCUAAGAUUUCAAGUUGGACCCCGCAUGGCCAGUCAGCAACCAAUUCGGCGAUCAAAUUGUCAGAGCUAAGUGAUGUUCCCAUGAAGAUUGAACCCUACGAGCAUCUGAAGGUUUCACUUGAAUCACGCAACCGUCGAUCGAAACCCAUGCAAAAAAAGGGAAAUAAAAUCUUCAGUUAG
rnacentral:lncRNA from 1 species